rnacentral:lncRNA from 1 species
UGUCACUUGUUCAUAGUAUUUGGGGAAUAAAAUAUUUGGAUCCUUGUGGAGUAAAUCUGUCUACUGAAACAUUGGGUACCUUGCUGCCAUUAUUGUUACUAAGAGUUAAAUGCCUGAUUUAUUUUGUUCUGAUUCAAAAUAUUCUAUAUGUAUGCAUUUUGAAAAGACUUAUUUGAAAUAAAACCUACAUUCGGAGAGAAAUAGAUGCCUUUGGAGUUAGCUGUCUCUCACUCUGACUUGAGUUUUGCUCAGCAAUGACAUAUCAAUCUGCUGUAAGAAGACAUUCAUCAUAUAAGCCCCAUAUACAUUGUUGUGUAUUGUGAAUAUGUUUCAAAUAUUGCUUUGCAGUACAGAGGUUUGCAAUAUCAAAUUCAGUUUACUCCUCUUAAAACAAAUCCAUACUUAAAAAACCACAUACUUCUGUGUGACUAGCCAACUUCAUGCUUACCCUUUAAAAUGUCUAAUAAUUUUUCAGUAUGAAGCCUUUUGAAAAGUAUUUUGGAAGAGUAAAAGAAGCUAUUUUAGCUAGUCACCUUUGUAAUGAUUCAUGUUCAUUAACUUACAAGGGAGAAGAGGGAUCAGAAACUUAGAAAGAGUGUCCACAUUGAACCCCACAUGCUUGCCUCUGAAGUCAAGAAAAGACCUACUGUGUUUUCCAGAGCAGAAGGCGCAGUAUCUGCUUCAAACCCGGCUCACACUGAGGAUGAACAACCUGGGUUACCUGGAUUACAAGAGAAAAGGAGGCUGUGUGAACAGAAUAGAAGGCGUAUGACUCCGGACUGGUUCUGGAUACUUACAAUAAUUCAGAGGAAACAGACGUGUGGCUGCCAUGCAUCUGUAAGGAUUGACUCAGACUUGUCCUGCUUCAUUGAAGUCUUCUUUUCCUAUUGGACAGAAAAUUGGACGUCACUAAAUGGUCUGCUUCUCCACUCCCGCUGAGGAUCAUGCAGUCACCUCCCUGUUUCUCCCCUGUUGACCACAGGGCAAGUUCUGGGCGGGGAAGGGCGGGGGGAGUCCUAAAUAAAACACAGCUGGUGCUGUGCA